GGGUGAGUAACGCGUAAGUAAUCUAUCCUGAUAUCUGGAAUAACCCACCGAAAGGUGUGCUAAUACCGGAUACGCUGAUUUAUCAGGAAAGGUGGCCUCUUCAUGAAAGCUACCGUAUCAGGAGGAGCUUGCGUACCAUUAGCUAGUUGGUGGGGUAAUGGCCUACCAAGGCGACGAUGGUUAGCGGGUCUGAGAGGAUGAUCCGCCACACUGGAACUGAAACACGGACCAGACUCCUACGGGAGGCAGCAGUGAGGAAUAUUGCGCAAUGGGGGCAACCCUGACGCAGCGACGCCGCGUGGAUGAUGAAGGCCUUCGGGUCGUAAAAUCCUGUCAGAUGGAAAGAAAUGUCCUAUGCCUAAUAUGUGUAGGAUUUGACGGUACCAUCAAAGGAAGCACCGGCUAACUCCGUGCCAGCAGCCGCGGUAAUACGGAGGGUGCAAGCGUUGUUCGGAAUUACUGGGCGUAAAGCGCGCGUAGGCGGCUUUUUAAGUCAGAUGUGAAAGUCCACGGCUCAACCGUGGAAGUGCAUUUGAUACUGGGANGCUUGAGUACUGGAGGGGAUGGUGGAAUUCCCGGUGUAGAGGUGAAAUUCGUAGAUAUCGGGAGGAAUACCGGUGGCGAAGGCGACCAUCUGGCCAGAUACUGACGCUGAGGUGCGAAAGCGUG
rnacentral:rRNA from 1 species